CCUACGGGCGGCAGCAGUGAGGAAUAUUGGUCAAUGGGCGUAAGCCUGAACCAGUCAAGUCGCGUGAGGGAUGAAGGUUCUAUGGAUCGUAAACCUCUUUUAUAAGGGAAUAAAGUGUGGGACGUGUCCUAUUUUGUAUGUACCAUAUGAAUAAGGAUCGGCUAACUCCGUGCCAGCAGCCGCGGUAAUACGGAGGAUCCGAGCGUUAUCCGGAUUUAUUGGGUUUAAAGGGUGCGUAGGCGGCCUUUUAAGUCAGCGGUGAAAGUCUGUGGCUCAACCAUAGAAUUGCAGUUGAAACUGGGGGGCUUGAGUGUGUUUGAGGCAGGCGGAAUGCGUGGUGUAGCGGUGAAAUGCUUAGAUAUCACGCAGAACCCCGAUUGCGAAGGCAGCCUGCCGAGCCGUGACUGACGCUGAUGCUCGAAAGCGUGGGGAUCAAACAGGAUUAGAUACCCCUGUAGUC
rnacentral:rRNA from 1 species